GCCUCUGUAGCUCAGUUGGUUAGAGCACUGCACCGGAAUCGCAGGGCCGUAGGUUCAAAUUCCCACCAGAGGAC